AGCUCUUCUUGCUCAUGCUGAGCUCAUCCAUCCUCCCCUCUUCAUGGAAGCACAUGUCGCCUGGCUCUUGUGAUCCUCCUCUUCCUCUUCCUCGUCUCUAAUUCCAAUCCGGUCUCCAUUUCGGAUCCAAAGCGGACAACAUGAUUGCCACAAAUUUCAAUCAACGAAUAAUGGUGCCAUCAGCAUUUAGAUCGAUUCAAAAUGGGUGACGUCUUGAGUUUUGAUGAUGGACAGAGAAAACAGUAAAUAUGUUUGAUUUAAUGUCUCUCAGUUCUUUCUUAUGCCUUCAAUUUUUCAUUGUUCUUUUGGAUUCGUUUAUCAUUUCAUUAUCUUCACAAUUUGAUCUAUCCUUAUUUUGGAUUAUUCACUGAAUAGGACGUAAAUGUUUUGUAUUAAACAGACAGCAGAGAACUACUAGAAAUAUUUAUUUACAGAAACUACCAUUAUUGGGUUAAUUCGUCAAGAAUGAGAGGUCGGAAUAUACUCUGAGAUGGCUUAAACUUGGCUUUGGGAGGACUAAAUGGGGAAAAUAAGCUCAACUGGUCAAAUUAAUGUGACAGGAUGGCACAGUUUUUAUGAAGAUGAUUGAGAUAUAUUCCAUAUUUUGAUGUUUAAACAGUUAGCCUCAGAAAUUUUUUUCAUUUAAUCUAUUCCUUCUACCAAGAUUUGUUGUUCUCCAUGGAUGUGAACCUCCCUAUAUUUGUUAUGUUUGUAAUGCUUGAAGGUGAAUCUGUAUAAAGAAUUUAAACAUAAAUAUUUUUCUAACAUUUA